GCGCUCGCCUCGCAAGUCGAGCGGACAGAUGGGAGCUUGCUCCCUGAUGUUAGCGGCGGACGGGUGAGUAACACGUGGGUAACCUGCCUGUAAGACUGGGAUAACUCCGGGAAACCGGGGCUAAUACCGGAUGCUUGUUUGAACCGCAUGGUUCAAACAUAAAAGGUGGCUUCGGCUACCACUUACAGAUGGACCCGCGGCGCAUUAGCUAGUUGGUGAGGUAAUGGCUCACCAAGGCGACGAUGCGUAGCCGACCUGAGAGGGUGAUCGGCCACACUGGGACUGAGACACGGCCCAGACUCCUACGGGAGGCAGCAGUAGGGAAUCUUCCGCAAUGGACGAAAGUCUGACGGAGCAACGCCGCGUGAGUGAUGAAGGUUUUCGGAUCGUAAAGCUCUGUUGUUAGGGAAGAACAAGUACCGUUCGAAUAGGGCGGUACCUUGACGGUACCUAACCAGAAAGCCACGGCUAACUACGUGCCAGCAGCCGCGGUAAUACGUAGGUGGCAAGCGUUGUCCGGAAUUAUUGGGCGUAAAGGGCUCGCAGGCGGUUUCUUAAGUCUGAUGUGAAAGCCCCCGGCUCAACCGGGGAGGGUCAUUGGAAACUGGGGAACUUGAGUGCAGAAGAGGAGAGUGGAAUUCCACGUGUAGCGGUGAAAUGCGUAGAGAUGUGGAGGAACACCAGUGGCGAAGGCGACUCUCUGGUCUGUAACUGACGCUGAGGAGCGAAAGCGUGGGGAGCGAACAGGAUUAGAUACCCUGGGAGUCCACGCCGUAUA
rnacentral:rRNA from 1 species